rnacentral:lncRNA from 1 species
AGUUCAGACACAAUAGUUUUACAUAUAUGGAGCCUCGCUUAGAGAAUGAUUUGAUUCAACUAUUUGAACUGUACAACUAUUAGAUAAAGCGCAAAUUACCUUUUACACACACGAAUAUUUGCAUCCCCAAAGUUGAACUCAAAUUGUUACAGACCACUCUCACGAAUACCUCACAAUACAAUCAAUAAAAUUCACUAAAGAAUACCUAAAAAAGUGUUACAAAAUAACCACAAGAAAACACAACAAAAACGUCGACAAAGACAC